rnacentral:rRNA from 1 species
GAGAUUCAUCGUCAGCGUAUCCGGUAUUGAUGCAGGCUAYGAUGUGAUAAUAGAAUCCUCGUGGUCACUAGAUUAUACGUGCSUGUAUCAUUUUUGCUGGUUAUGUAGGCGUGCACUUCUCCUCUAGUARAACGUCRCAMCCCGUUGGAUGUUUAUCUAUGGWCCRAAUGAUASCCUUUGAUAUUUAAUAUAUUGAWKWWCUYURGUAGUGCGGAURUAAUGCCGUCGCUGGACAAAGUCUGCUGUUAGCUGGUAAUGUCUUUAACUGGCUUAUUUUUACCGGUUAGCGAUGCUACUGCUUUGGGUACUUACAGGACCCGUCUUGAAACACGGACCAAGGAGUCUAACAUGUGCGCGAGUCAUUGGGAUAUAUUUAUAUGAUUGAAACCUAAAGGCGUAAUGAAAGUGUAGAUUGUCUUAAGACAAUUAAGGGAAGAUGGGUUGCGUUACGAUGUAAUCCCGCAUUCCCGGGACGUUCUAU